AUUUGUGACAACAUGAUAAAAGUGCUUACGAAAACGUAAUCGGCAUAACAAAGAUUUGCAGAAUCCUUCCUCCAUAUCAGGGUUAUUUUGUAAUGGUUCUAUAUCUUCUGUAACUCUCUUCUUAGACAACGUAGCUUUACAAGCCCGUAAUUGACGAGCAAUUGUUUCUUCGACUGCAUGUAGCAUUGUCAAACAUUUGUCAUCUCCAUCUACCUUUAG
rnacentral:misc_RNA from 1 species